ACCCGCUGAACUUAAGCAUAUCAAUAGCGGGAGGAAAAGAAACCAACAGGGAUUGCCCUAGUAACGGCGAGUGAAGCGGCAAUAGCUCAAAUUUGAAAGCUGGCCUUCUGGUCCGCAUUGUAAUUUGUAGAGGAUGCUUUUAGGCAGCCGCCGGUCUAAGUUCCUUGGAACAGGACGUCAUAGAGGGUGAGAAUCCCGUAUGUGACCGGCUCUGGCACCUUCUGUAAAGCUCCUUCGACGAGUCGAGUUGUUUGGGAAUGCAGCUCUAAAUGGGAGGUAAAUUUCUUCUAAAGCUAAAUACUGGCGAGAGACCGAUAGCGCACAAGUAGAGUGAUCGAAAGAUGAAAAGCACUUUGGAAAGAGAGUUAAAAAGCACGUGAAAUUGUUGAAAGGGAAGCGCUUGCAAUCAGACUUGGCUUCGGUUGUUCAACAGGUCUUCUGACCUGCCUAUUCAAUCGUUGCCAGGCCAGCAUCAGUUUCGGCGGCCGGAUAAAGGCCCUGGGAAUGUGGCUGUUCCUUCGGGGACAGUGUUAUAGCCCAGGGUGUAAUACGGCCAGCUGGGACUGAGGUCCGCGCUUCGGCUAGGAUGCUGGCGUAAUGGUUGUAAGCGGCCCGUCUUGAAACACGG
rnacentral:rRNA from 1 species